rnacentral:rRNA from 1 species
GCGUGUGCGAUGAAGGUCUUCGGAUUGUAAAGCACUUUUAGAGGGGAUGAGGAAGGACAGUACCCUCUGAAUAAGCCUCGGCUAACUACGUGCCAGCAGCCGCGGUAAAACGUAGGAGGCGAGCGUUAUCCGGAUUUACUGGGCGUAAAGCGCGUGUAGGCGGCGUGAUAAGUUGGAUGUGAAAGCUCCCGGCUAAACUGGGAGAGGACGUUCAAUACUGUCACGCUUGAGGAUGGGAGAGGGAGGUGGAAUUCCGGGUGUAGUGGUGAAAUGCGUAGAUAUCCGGAGGAACACCAGUGGCGAAGGCGGCCUCCUGGCCCAUUUCUGACGCUCAGACGCGAAAGCUAGGGUAGCAAACGGGAUUAGAGACCCCGGUAGUCCUAGCUGUAAACGAUGUAGACUUGGCGUUGGUGGGGUAAAAUCCAUCAGUGCCGUAGCUAACGCGAUAAGUCUACCGCCUGGGGACUACGGCCGCAAGG